CCUACGGGGGGCAGCAGUGAGGAAUAUUGGUCAAUGGCCGUAAGGCUGAACCAGCCAAGUCGCGUGAAGGAAGAAGGAUCUAUGGUUUGUAAACUUCUUUUAUAGGGGAAUAAAGGUAUCCACGUGUGGAUAUUUGCAUGUACCCUAUGAAUAAGCAUCGGCUAACUCCGUGCCAGCAGCCGCGGUAAUACGGAGGAUGCGAGCGUUAUCGGGAUUUAUUGGGUUUAAAGGGGGCGUAGGUUGUGUUGUAAGUCAGAGGUGAAAGUUUGUGGCUCAACCAUAAAAUUGCCGUUGAAACUGGAAGACUUGAGUGUGUUUGAGGUAGGCGGAAUGCGUGGUGUAGCGGUGAAAUGCAUAGAUAUCACGAAGAACACCGAUUGCGAAGGCAGCUUACUAGGCCAUAACUGACACUGAGGCACGAAAGCGUGGGGAGCAAACAGGAUUAGAUACCCCGGUAGUC
rnacentral:rRNA from 1 species